rnacentral:tRNA from 1 species
CAGCAAUUAGUUUAAUAAAAAUUUAAGUUUUGGAGACUUGGGAUGGAAAUAAGUUUUCUUUUGCUGA